CUCCUGUUGUGAGUUUACGAGCCAGUUCACAGCAUUUAAAAGAGACUGACUGCAGCAGUGUUUCAGCUCCUCACAGCUGGAGACACAGCGCCCUCUGCUGGAGGGAAGUCAGACCAACAUCCACACUGAGGGUCAACAUGUUCAGUAAACUUCUGCCAGAAGAGAACUGAUGGGAAAAUACAACUAAAGCAGAUCUGACUGCAUGUACGUACACCGAGGAGUCUGCAGGGGAUACGAGACACUGACGUUUGUAGACAUUGUGUCUCUUUGUAGUUGUGUUGUGUCUCUUUGUAGUCGUGUUGUGUGUCUUUGUAGUCGUGUUGUGUCUCUUUGUAGUCGUGUUGUGUCUCUUUGUAGUCGUGUUGUGUCUCUUUGUAGUGUGUCUCUUUGUAGUCGUGUUGUGUCUCUUUGUAGUCGUGUUGUUUCUCUUUGUAGUCGUGUUGUGUCUCUUUGUAGUCGUGUUGUGUCUCUUUGUGUCUCUUUGUAGUCGUGUUGUUUCUCUUUGUAGUCGUGUUGUGUCUCUUUGUGUCUCUUUGUAGUCGUGUUGUUUCUCUUUGUAGUCGUGUUGUGUCUCUUUGUGUCUCUUUGUAGUCGUGUUGUUUCUCUUUGUAGUCGUGUUGUGUCUCUUUGUGUCUCUUUGUAGUCGUGUUGUUUCUCUUUGUAGUCGUGUUGUGUCUCUUUGUAGUCGUGUUGUGUCUCUUUGUGAUUUCCUAACCAGAGAUCUCAGUAGUAGUUUCACACAGAGGUUCUGUCCGGUUCACUAAUCUGUCCGUAGUUGUUACA
rnacentral:lncRNA from 1 species